CACUGCUCUGGUUCUCUCACCCUCC
rnacentral:piRNA from 1 species